rnacentral:rRNA from 1 species
CCUACGGGAGGCAGCAGUGAGGAAUAUUGGUCAAUGGUCGGGAGACUGAACCAGCCAAGCCGCGUGAGGGAGGAAGGUACAGAGUAUCGUAAACCUCUUUUGUCAGGGAACAAAGGCGGGGACGUGUCCCCGGAUGAGUGUACCUGAAGAAAAAGCAUCGGCUAACUCCGUGCCAGCAGCCGCGGUAAUACGGAGGAUGCGAGCGUUAUCCGGAUUUAUUGGGUUUAAAGGGUGCGCAGGCGGUCUGUUAAGUCAGCGGUCAAAGCCCGGGGCUCAACCCCGGCCCGCCGUUGAAACUGGAAGUCUUGAGUUGGAGAGAAGUAUGCGGAAUGCGCGGUGGAGCGGUGAAAUGCAUAGAUAUCGCGCAGAACUCCGAUUGCGAAGGCAGCAUGCCGGCUCCACACUGACGCUGAGGCACGAAAGCGUGGGUAUCGAACAGGAUUAGAUACCCGUGUAGUC